rnacentral:rRNA from 1 species
AUUGAACGCUGGCGGCAGGCUUAACACAUGCAAGUCGAGCGGGGAAAGGUAGCUUGCUACCGGACCUAGCGGCGGACGGGUGAGUAAUGCUUAGGAAUCUGCCUAUUAGUGGGGGACAACAUCUCGAAAGGGAUGCUAAUACCGCAUACGUCCUACGGGAGAAAGCAGGGGAUCUUCGGACCUUGCGCUAAUAGACGAGCCUAAGUCGGAUUAGCUAGUUGGUGGGGUAAAGGCCUACCAAGGCGACGAUCUGUAGCGGGUCUGAGAGGAUGAUCCGCCACACUGGGACUGAGACACGGCCCAGACUCCUACGGGAGGCAGCAGUGGGGAAUAUUGGACAAUGGGGGGAACCCUGAUCCAGCCAUGCCGCGUGUGUGAAGAAGGCCUUAUGGUUGUAAAGCACUUUAAGCGAGGAGGAGGCUACUUUAGUUAAUAUCUAGAGAUAGUGGACGUUACUCGCAGAAUAAGCACCGGCUAACUCUGUGCCAGCCGCCGCCGUAA